GACAGAGGAUGCAAGCGUUAUCCGGAAUGAUUGGGCGUAAAGCGUCUGUAGGUGGCUUUUAAGUCCGCCGUCAAAUCCCAGGGCUCAACCCUGGACAGGCGGUGGAAACUACCAAGCUGGAGUACGGUAGGGGCAGGAGGGAAUUUCCGGUGGAGCGGUGAAAUGCGUAGAGAUUGGAAAGAACACCGAUGGCGAAGGCACUUUACUGGGCUAUUACUAACACUGAGAGACGAAAGCUAGGGUAGCAAUGGG
rnacentral:rRNA from 1 species